GACGAACGCUGGCGGCGUGCUUAACACAUGCAAGUCGAACGGCAAGGCCCUGCUUUUGUGGGGUGCUCGAGUGGCGAACGCGUGAGUAACACGUGAGUAACCUGCCCUACUCUUUGGGAUAACUUCAGGAAACUGGGGCUAAUCCCGGAUAGGAUCCCCCGCUGCAUGGUGGGGGUUGGAAAGUUUCGGCGGUUGGGGAUGGACUCGCGGCUUAUCAGCUUGUUGGUGGGGUAGUGGCUUACCAAGGGUUUGGCUGGUAGCCGGCCUGUGAGGGUGGCCGGCCACAUGGGGACUGAGAUACGGCCCAGACGCCUACGGGAGGCAGCAGUGGGGAAUAUUGCACAAUGGGCGGAAGCCGGAUGCAGCAACGCCGCGUGCGGGAUGACGGCCUUCGGGUUGUAAACCGCUUCCGCCUGUGACGAAGCUGGAGUGACGGUAAUGGAUAAAGAAGCACCGGCUAACUACGUG
rnacentral:rRNA from 1 species